rnacentral:rRNA from 1 species
GACGAACGCUGGCGGCGUGCUUAACACAUGCAAGUCGAACGGUGAAGGGAUCAGCUUGCUGGUUCUGGAUGAGUGGCGAACGGGUGAGUAACACGUGAGUAACCUGCCCCCUUCUUCUGGAUAACCGCAUAAAAGUGUGGCUAAUACGGGAUAUUCUGCGCCUGCUGCAUGGUGGGUGUGGGAAAGAUAUUGUUUCGGUGGGGGAUGGGCUCGCGGCCUAUCAGCUUGUUGGUGGGGUGAUGGCCUACCAAGGCGGUGACGGGUAGCCGGCCUGAGAGGGUGGACGGUCACACUGGGACUGAGACACGGCCCAGACUCCUACGGGAGGCAGCAGUGGGGAAUAUUGCACAAUGGGCGCAAGCCUGAUGCAGCGACGCCGCGUGAGGGAUGGAGGCCUUCGGGUUGUGAACCUCUUUCGCCAGUGAAGCAGGCCUGUCCCUUGUGGGUGGGUUGACGGUAGCUGGAUAAGAAGCGCCGGCUAACUACGUG